rnacentral:rRNA from 1 species
UACGAAGGGGGGCUAGCGUUGCUCGGAAUCACUGGGCGUAAAGGGUGCGUAGGCGGGUUUUUAAGUCAGAGGUGAAAUCCUGGAGCUCAACUCCAGAACUGCCUUUGAUACUGAAAGUCUUUGAGUAUGGGAGAGGUGAGUGGAACUGCGAGUGUAGAGGUGAAAUUCGUAGAUAUUCGCAAGAACACCAGUGGCGAAGGCGGCUCACUGGCCCAUAACUGACGCUGAGGUGCGAAAGCGUGGGGAGCGAACAGG